rnacentral:rRNA from 1 species
GAGUUUGAUCGUGGCUCAGGAUGAACGCUGGCGGCGUGCCUAAUACAUGCAAGUCGAGCGAACGGACGAGAAGCUUGCUUCUCUGAUGUUAGCGGCGGACGGGUGAGUAACACGUGGAUAACCUACCUAUAAGACUGGGAUAACUUCGGGAAACCGGAGCUAAUACCGGAUGAUAUUUUGAACCGCAUGGUUCAAAAGUGAAAGACGGUCUUGCUGUCACUUAUAGAUGGAUCCGCGCUGCAUUAGCUAGUUGGUAAGGUAACGGCUUACCAAGGCAACGAUGCAUAGCCGACCUGAGAGGGUGAUCGGCCACACCGGGAACUGAGACACGGUCCAGACUCCUACGGGAGGCAGCAGUAGGGAAUCUUCCGCAAUGGGCGAAAGCCUGACGGAGCAACGCCGCGUGAGUGAUGAAGGUCUUCGGAUCGUAAAACUCUGUUAUUAGGGAGAACAUAUGUGUAAGUAACUGUGCACAUCUUGACGGUACUAAUCAGAAAGCACGGCUAACUACGUCG